CUUUAAAGUAUUUUGCUAAAAUAAAUUGCAGCAACUGGUUAUCACCCACCCCAUAGAUGAAAUUUCCUAGAACAGGGAAUUACAUAUAUAUGCAUAUAUAUGUAUUCAUAAUACUUAUGCCUACAUACAUCUAUACCCAUUCUUUCUAUAUUUUUUAGAAAGAAAAUGAAAUGGAGAAUGAGUGGAUUUUAUUCAGUUUCAGACAAGCAACUGUUGGAUUAGAGCAUACAGGGACAUAUAUUGUCCUACUGCCCCCUGUGGUUAGUAUGAUUUGUCUGACUAGCUAGUUAUUAAUAGUUGUCCCCUUCUCCUACCACUUCAAGCCCACUUCAACCAGCUCCUUCCAAAUGCUCAAGAGAAGACUUCAGAAGAAAUUCAAAGUUUUCAAAAUGAUGUUGGAUUGAAAGUUCUGAUGAUGUUCUAUAAACCAAGAGUUUGCAAACUGUGGCCAAAUCCUGCUCACCCUCUGAUUGUGUAUAGCCCCAAGCUAAGAAUGGUUUUUACAUUUUAAAGUAGCUGGAAAAUAUCAAAAGAAGAGUAAUAAUAUUUUGUGACACAUGAAAAUUCAUGAAAUUCAAACUUCAGUGUCCGUAAAUAAAGCUUACUGAAACAGAGC
rnacentral:lncRNA from 10 species